UUCUCUGGGCAACCUGUUCUAGUGUCUCACCACCUUCACAGUAAAGAAUUUAUUCCUGAUGUCUAACCUAAAUCUCCCCUCUUUCAACUUAAAGCCAUUGCCCCUUGUCCUAUCACUACAUGCUCUUGUAAAAAGUCCCUCCCCAUAUUUCUUGUAGCCCCCCUUUAGAUUCUGGAAGAUUUAUAGGGUCUUCCCUGAGCCUUCUCUUCUCCAGGCUGAACAAGUUCAACUCUCUUAACCUGUCUUCAUAGGAAAAGUGCUUCAGCACUCUGAUCAUCUUUUUGGACCUCCUCUGGACUCACUUGAGCAGAUCUUCUUAUCUACCAUUCCAAGUAAAAGAUGUUCAAUUGGACUGUUCCUCCUUCAGAAUUUGUGCCAAAAAGCCCUCUCCACUAUGUUACUUAGAGCUUCCUGACUCAACCUAUUCCCAGA